AAAAAAUAACUAGACAUUCGGUGCUAACUAAUAUCUGACUGUGGAAGAAGCGUUCUGAAUUGUUUUUCCAAUGAUAAGGUUUACGUCUUUAUCUCUCUUAAGAUGGAAACUCUGACUCAACUCUCAGAGUUUGCAAAACAAGUAUAUAAAGCCACAGCUUGGUGGGUUGGAUGAGAGUGACUUUUAUGUUCUCAUCUAGUUGAGUUACUAAUCACCUUGACUUUUCAUAACAGCUACUGCAUCCUACACUACUGAAGAAAAAACUACAUACCACCAUACAAACUAUCUAAUGCAUUGAAUAACCUUGGAAGUUUGGCCUAUAUUCUGUAUUUAACACAUAUUCUAUGUUUUUCUGAUGAAACUAAAUUUCAUAUCUAUACAGUGGGAUGAGAAGGUGAUGUGCAUCUCACAUUAGAGCUAACUGGUUAUCCUUGUACCUCAUUAUUAUCCCUGUUUUGGCUUAUAUACAGAGAUCAUGGCUGCUCCAGCCUGCUGACCUUUUAUUUUGCAAGUCUCUAGUUGGGGUUUGACCAGGACCUGGAGCGCAUUUUCUAUGGUCUGAUUCCUAGCAAGCUGUUAAUGUGGUUGCCCAUCCGAUAGGCUGCACUAGCAAUGGAGCUAUCAUAGGGAUGGGAGAAAGGACUGGCAGCUAUUGUUUUGGAGACUAUUCAAACCGACCGAACACUACCAAGAGACUACACUUGGACUGAUCUCAUCCCAGCUGACAUGGGCAUGGACACUCUUCUUUCUCUUCCAAGCUGAUACUGCUCCUGGAACCGCUCUUCGCUUUCUGGAGAUGCCUUCACUGACGCCUGAAACCGUUGGAUCGAUGCUGUCUUCUGUUUGUGUGUCACUGAUCUUGAUCGGUUAAUCAGGAUGGGGAUGGAUGAUGGCUGGCUGGUGCAGGCCACCUGGCUCCCUGCCAUUGCUGUGCCAUGUGAUUGGAGCAUCAUGGAUUUUUAUGCAGAGCCAUGGCCACAAGCAUCAGACAUUGUCCAAACUGCUUAGGUUCAUCUUCCACCUCUGCUGGAUGGGUGAUGGCCCCUUUCAUCUUCCAUUAGACGACAACACUGAGGACAGGUGUGCUCGGAUGCCAAAGUCACGACAACACACAAUUUCUUGUAAUCAAAACUGGAUUCUACUUUCUGAUGGAUUGUAACUUGUGACUUAUCCUUAAAAAUCAUUCUGAAUGUGUGAUUGACAUUUUUCAUUCCACUGCUUAACCAUUCAAA